rnacentral:lncRNA from 1 species
CCCCAUGGCUGGGACACGAACUGGCCUUGAACCCACCCAGCCCCGGCCUCCCCUGCGUCCCCCAGGCUGGCGGCCUCACUCUGUGGCUGUGGGGCCUUUUCCCUUCCAGCUCCUGGCCCUGUUUUCCUGGGUCUUGUAUGGGCGGGGGCCUUAUGAAUGUACCAUCCAAGUAGAAAAGAUGGGCUCACCACAUGAACGCAGCUUCCAGACACCUCCAGCUGUGUCUCCCCAGGACCCUUCCAUGGAGGUCUGACAGCCCUGGCCCAGGCAGAACACGGCCUCAGCGUGCUCCUGUGGACCCUGGUGGGAGCCCCAGGAGCCGCGGUGAUGGGGAGCCCUACGUAAGUGACCACAGAGACAAACGUCUACAGUUUCCGAUGAUUUUAAUGGUCUUCAUUUUGUUUAUCUACAUGUUUGAAUUUUUCUACAACACACACGAAUGACUGGAGUAAUUUGAAAAAGG